CAAGCGGUGAUGAGUGCAAAAGGAAUAAGAAAAUGCUGAAUUGCACCACUUUUGACCACAAGAGGAGUGCAAUGAAGGGAGACUGAGAACUUAGAAACAGGUACAUGAAGAGGGAACAUGCCACACAGGUAGUAUGGAGUCACUGCUCCCUGGAGAAGUCGCUGGCAAUUUUAACAAGAUGCAAGGGACAAAGCAAUGGACAGAGCCACCCCGGCAGGUGGAGGGAAGGUCUGAUUACUCGUUCUUAAGGGGCAUGUGGACAGGAGCCUCGGAAACUGCCCAGUUUACACAGAGUGCAGCCAAGAGGACCUUCGGGAGAUGCACCUUGCUUCUGUGUGGCUCUCCAAGAAAGGAAAUGCCUUGGAAAAAUUAAAAAUAACUUCCACCUGAAAGCAAUAUCUUUCCAUCUUUCAGUAUCAACUUUUAAUAAUA
rnacentral:lncRNA from 10 species